AUUGAACGCUGGCGGCAAGCCUAACACAUGCAAGUCGAACGAGUGGCGGACGGGUGAGUAAUGUCUGGGAAACUGCCUGAUGGAGGGGGAUAACUACUGGAAACGGUAGCUAAUACCGCAUACCAUCGGAUUUGCCCAGAUGGGAUUAGCUAGUGUGUGGGGUAAAGGCUCACCUAGGCGACGAUCCCUAGCUGGUCUGAGAGGAGGACCGGCAAAACUGGAACUGAGACCCGGUCAAGACUCCUCGGGUAGGCAGAAGUGGGGAUUAUUGCACAAUGGGCGCAAGCCUGAUGAGCACAGGCCGGGUGUAUGAAGAGGGCUUUCGGGUUGUAAAGUACUUUCAGCGGGGAGGCGUUACCCGCAGAGGAAGCACCGGCUAACUCCGUGCCAGCAGCCGCGGUAAUUC
rnacentral:rRNA from 1 species